GCCCGUGCAUCUCCAAGGGACAGCUAUUUAGUAUCAAAGAAAACUUUAUAAGGUAACGACUAACUUUAAAAGUCAGGGUAAAUACAAAUUGAUGUAAUCACAUAAAGAAUUUAAGAACAAUCAUAAAAUGCAAUCAGAUGAGAAUGAGAGAGAGAAUAAAAAGGAGGGGGAGGGGUAGAGGGGCCAAACUUCUAAUUUGGGAUAAUCCACAGAAUAGACCCUUUUUCUGCCACAUAUGCUCAAUUCAACAAUUCCCUGGUUAUGCGCUUGAACUAAGAGCAACUAGUAUGGUCCACCAAGACAUUUCACUCCUAUGCAGUCAAUAAAGCUAGCAUGCCAGGAUGUACCUAAUUCCCAAGAUUAAAAACUCUAUUUUUGUUUUAUCCGAGUUUCCUCCACAAAUUCCUCCUCCCUUCCUCUAAACUCUACAUAAAACCAUUGAUAUGGAUAUCCGCAAUAACCCAUUGACAUCAUGGAUAAACCAUUGCCCUUUCCAGAUGUGACAUGUCCAUAUGUCCCCAGUCAUAAUGUUGUUAUAAUCCAGUAAUAUUAGUUUGUGAUAUAGGAUAUCAAGAGUGUCACAUGUAUACUCUUAAUUAUUCCACCUCAAUUAUUAAAAUUGUCAAUAACUAUUAUAAUUCAAUAAAUUUUUUUAUUUGGAACCAACUUGUCCAAGCAUUUAAACCACACACACACAGAAAAAAAAUAAAAUAAAAUUGCAUGAUUUAUUUAAGUGUAUCAUGGUUAGCAUGCACAAUGAUCUGUUGUAAUACCGUGAUAAUAAAUGUAUAUUAACAUCUAUCUUUCGCGAAACAAUAGCAGAACUUCAAGUGAAAAGGAUACCACUAGAGCUCUGACA
rnacentral:misc_RNA from 1 species